GUUAGGGAGCAACCUGACCUGAAACAUAAUAUUCAUUGAAGGGGCAGCUAUUUGGGGAAUAAAGGUAAACUAUAUUACUAGUAUUUCUACUAGUGUAGCCUGGUGGUUGUAAGAAACUUGCAGACAUUGUUCUGUUUUUAAUGGAGAAAUUUGGCCAAUAUUUGAACAGUCUCAGUAUAACACAUUAUAACACAUUUCAUUCUCUUCUACCUUUUCCUCCUUCAAAACACACAUACUACCCAUCAUCACCUAGACAAGCUACGUUAGGUUAUUUGGUAAGGUUCCCAUCUGACAUACAGAAUUUGUGGGCAGGAGAGAGUUGGGGGCAGUAAUAUUGUUAGCAUUGAUCACCAGCUAUCUUUUUAAUUCUGAUAAUUGUUUAUAGUCAUCUUUAUCCAUAUAAUAAUCUCUUUAU